rfam:Flavobacteria bacterium BAL38 1101699887717, whole genome shotgun sequence.
AACGCAGACCGCCUUAUCGUCGUCCGCCUAGGCGGAUGGAGGAAAGUCCGGACACCAAAGAGUAGCAUAGCGGGUAACGCCCGUCCGUUGAAAGGCGAGGACAAGUGCAACAGAAAGUAUGUACAGAUAAUGCUGUAGUGAAACCAGGUAAACUCUAUGCGGUGAAAUGUCAAGUAUAUCAACAGUUUCUGAGUAAUUAGAAUAAGGGCUACUCGUCCGAUGUUGAAGGGUAGACAGCUUGAGCUAAGCAGUAAUGUUUGGUCUAGAUAAAUGAUAAGGGUCCGCCAUUGGCGCGAUACAGAAUCCGGCUUAUAGGUCUGCUUUUUUA